rnacentral:rRNA from 1 species
GACGAACGCUGGCGGCGUGCUUAACACAUGCAAGUCGAACGGAAAGGCCCUGCUUUUGUGGGGUGCUCGAGUGGCGAACGGGUGAGUAACACGUGAGUAACCUGCCCUUGACUUUGGGAUAACUUCAGGAAACUGGGGCUAAUACCGGAUAGGAGCUCCUGCUGCAUGGGGGGGGUUGGAAAGAUUCGGCGGUUGGGGAUGGACUCGCGGCUUAUCAGCUUGUUGGUGGGGUAGUGGAUUACCAAGGCUUUGACGGGUAGCCGGCCUGAGAGGGUGACCGGCCACAUUGGGACUGAGAGACGGCCCAGACUCCUACGGGAGGCAGCAGUGGGGAAUAUUGCACAAUGGGCGGAAGCCUGAUGCAGCAACGCCGCGUUCGGGAUGACGGCCUUCGGGUUGUAAACCGCUUUCGCCUGUGACGAAGCGUGAGUGACGGUAAUGGGUAAAGAAGCACCGGCUAACUACGUG